ACUGCCUGGCACAAGGAAAGAGUCCCUGAGCAGCCCUGUGGAGGCUGGCUCUGUAAGCCCGGGACGGUGGGGAGGCACUGAGCUCAGCUGGGCACUGCAGAGGCCUGGCGUCGUCAGGCAGUUGCCACAGACAAGCAGGUGCAAUUACUAAGCGAAGCCCCAAGAACAGAGCCGCGAUCAGUGUUUGACCCAAGGAAACUGCGUUGAGGGUUCACAGACCAGAGAGUCCCGAGUCGUGAGAGUGUCACAGGGUCCAGUCCUUCAGAGCAGGGGCUGUGGAAGUCAGGUGAUGAACGGAUCUGUCUACGGGGGCUGAGACAUUUGCCAAGAUUGCCAUAUGGUAAACGGAUACGUGCUUCAGCUGGGGCCUCAGUCGCAGACCAUGUGUGAUCCAUUGCUGGGGUGUCCUGUACUGCAUGGGCUGACCAAGGAACUUAUUUUACGGUAAAAGAGAUAGACCAAUGGAUUGGCACCUACUGGGCCCCAUGGCUGAAGAGAAGUGUCGUGGGAAGCUGAUGACUGCCCUUUGAAGAGCCACUUAGGCUCCAGGGGAAGAACACGCCCUGGUGAGGCCCCAGGCUGCAGGAUGUCAGGCCUGCGUGACAUCAGCCCCCAGCAGUGGCUCUCUGUGACCUGCUGCAUGACCUAUGAUGGGAUUGCAGGCAGGAAGGCAGCUCCCAGGUAGCACAGCUCUGCCUGUUCCCAGAGUCCCUUGGGUAGCUCUUCUAGGACAUCCUGGUCCCUGUCCACUGGCAAGGCCCCCUCGGCCUGGCAAGUCCUGGGAAUGGAAAGCGGUGUUUCAGGGCCUCCGUGCUGUGUCCUCGUCUUUUCUCAGGGUUGAUGGGUGCGGCCUCCUCAGAAGGCUCCAGGUGAGAAGGUCUCUUCUAAGUUUGUGCAAGCGGCUGUCAGCAGCGUUUAUUUCUGUGAUGGCUGCUGGGGACCCCGCUUCCUCACUGGGGCUUGGGGGUGGCCUUCUUUACAGUGCUCUGCACAGUGCUUCAUCAGGAGGUUCACUGCAGAGCCAGAUUUCUCUCUGGUAGGCAUCACGGUAGGUAACAAUCCAACCUUGGAGGUAACGUGCCUGUGUUUCUGUCACAUCCUCUACAUUGGGAAGCAGUCAUGAGAUCAGCUCUCAUGCAUACACACGUGUGCACCCACACACUCACUCACCCACCCACUCAGGGGCAUGAGUACCAAGGUAGAGAUCACUAGGACUGCUGUAGAAGCAGCCUACCUAAAGGGAUUUAUUUUGGGUGAAAGAAUUGAAGCAGGAGAUGUGAGCCCGCAGUGCCUGGCUCAUCCCUGCCCAAGAGUCCAAGGUGACAGAAACUGCGGCAGCUCAGUAGAGACAGGCUGGUGACCAAAGUCCCAGAGAGACAAGGCUGUCGUUCCAUCUGGCAAAGAGGGUGCAGGGGGCUCUGCUGAGAGGAAGCGGAGCACAGUGGCAGAGGAAGGAAGCUGUGAUGAUCGGCAUGUUCUGCGGAAGUGCAAAGAGCCUCAGCAAGGUGAUGAGAUUACUUCCUUGCAAGGGUCCAUGGUGCUGUGUUUUAGGAGUCAGGUGGGACUGUGACACAUUGACAUUGUUGCGUUGAUACAGAGCUUCUGGAAUUCACUGGGCUCCUGUGGUGAGGACAUGAGUGUCCCAUCCAAAGCCUAGUGCAGCAAGAGUAGUGUGUGCAUGCGUGUGUGUGUGUGUGUGUGCACGCGUGGGUGUGGGUGUGCUGGGUGUGUUGUGCUGCACUCUGUGCUUUUCAGGUCCACUCCCGACUUUGUACGUCAUCCCUCUGCGCACCGUGAGGUGAACUUCCAAUGAUUGCUGGAUUCCUGUUGGCUUCGGCCAGUGAGUCACUGGAGGCCCAGGAGACAGAAGGGAGAGUGCUUCUCUGUUCCCUGAGUCCCUUCUGGGCCCCAGUUUGGCGAUGGCUGCUUUCUCCUGUGAAAGGCACAGCUCCAACCAGAAGGCCACAUCCUCUGGAGCCACAGCUCCUGCCGCAGCAACAGAAAAGCUCGGCACUGCUGCAGGCCCAGGGUGCGUCCCAUCCCCUGGGGUUUCUUUCCACAGUGCCCAGGUCUUCUUCAGCUCCAUCCCUUUUGUGCAAACCACCUGCUUUGCACGAGGGCCACCCUCAGAUAAGCGACUGACUCAGGAAUGUUUGUGAGUAAGUGUGGUUUCCAUUCUGGAUAAGGUAAGCAAUGCUCAUGAGUUCUUCAGCAUGGUUUAUUAUAAAUUCUGCCUUGUGUUUAAACAUGGUGUUCAACGCAUCAGUCAUGGCGUGAAAUCUGCCCCAAGCACUUUGAUCAUGGAGACAGGAGCUGAGGGACGCUUGGAGAGGAUUGUCACUGGGCACCACUGCCCUUGGCCAGAGGACCUCUGUCUGGCUGGAGUUCAUCCAGUCACUUGGAGCUCUAGGCUCACAGUUUACUCACAAAAGGAACUGGCAAGUGUGAGCCCCUGCAGACCUUCUUGGAUAGAG